GUUACACGACGAGAUUGAAGCUGUGUUGAUUGAAUACAUGGUAGUAUGGUAGUAGUAUGGCGGCAGCCAUCAUGUUGUUUGUGAUCUAUAAAAGUUUUAACACUUAUGUUAUUUUAUUACAUGACAGAAGAUCAAAUUGAAAAGCAUAUCCUUAUCAAUUUAGGGCUAGUUUUGAGCUUAAAUUAUGCUGAUCUUAAGAGAAAUUUGGAAUAUUUGGAGUUAAGUAGGUCGGAAGUCUGCAAGAGAAAUAGAACAACUUUCAUGUUAUCAAGCGCGGAGAACUAUGUACUAUUUUGUUAUUGGGCAUUACACAUAAUGGUAAAUGUCUUAAAAAAAAUCUUUUAAAUUUGAUGAACUUCUAACAAGCAAUUGGCAGAGAAGAAAGGGAUCCGUUUUCAAACUGUGAAUUUGUUAAUUUAUGGAAAGUAUUGGUGAUUUUCUUAUGCGCCUUGCUGAUGGACUCCUUACAAAAUAAUAUCAUUGGAUUCUAUUUUCUAUAUUUGUUAUUCCCUUAAGACACACAUGACAACCAAGAAUUGCUGUUGUCAAAACUAUUUUUAUUGUUUGCCUGAUGAGAUGAAGACAAGAAAGAGCUUUGGCGGAAAAACGUGAAAAGCAAUGUUACAAUUCGUUCGUUGAAGUUUGGUGAAGAAGCCAUUAUCUUUAAAGUUAAAAGCCAUGUGCUUAUAUAAUCAACAACAACUUGAUUUUCACGUUUGCCAGCGUCAGGAAUACUUUUAAAGAAGUUUUGACACCGCCAUACACGAAGUAUAAUGUUUACGAAGUGCAAAGCCACAUGUUGUGACAAGCUGAUGAAAAAGCUUAAGUAUCUGUUCAAGGAUUAUCGACGCUGGGAAUAAUUAUUAAAAUGUUUUUUUUUCUCAUUCCUUUUUUUUUGCUUUAGAUGAUCAUCGUGUGGUACAAGGCCUGCUCCUUUUCCCUCCCUUUAGCUAGGUGCGCUGAGAGAAGGUCCCUGACAAAGGACGGGUUGCGUGUUCUUCGGAGCUCGCUUUAACGUAACGUGGUCAUGUCGGACUAGAGCGCCCCAUUAGGCUCCCGCAAUGAAAUUUUCUGAUAAAGAUACAUUCUUAGAUAAUUAAGUCAAGCAGUUAAGUUAAGAAAAGUUCCUUUGUUUGUCUGAGGGAGCAAAAUAAAAGGGUCUAUGUUAUUGUGUGUAGUUGGUGUCAUUGUAAGGUUUAAGCUGGUGAGUUUACAAAUGUUUGGAUAAGGUUUGGACGAGGAACCACCUUAGCCUUGAAGGUCAAUACGGGGACAUGUAUCUUUGCAAAGGCGUCAACAAAUCCAUUAAGCCCACUUCCAUCUCAGCAACAAUGGAAGAAACUUGCGUUGCUGAGCUCUGCUGGCUGGGUGGCGUCACCGCACAUUGACCCAGCUACCCAAUGACUUCCCUGAAUUUUCAUUAUGUGAAAACUGAAAAAAAAGAAUGAUUGUGCAUGAAUGAAGGAGUAUUGGUACCAACCAAGUAAGGAGCAUUACAACUUGUUACUACUUGUACCAAAAUGGCAAAAAGAUUUAUUAACAAUUGUGAUUUUUCUGAACAAUGGUGAAAGUGCAUGUCAGCCAGCUUCUUUAACAGAAGGGGAGUUAAAAAGCUGUUCAAAUUGCAACUAAGCAUUGUGGGAAUGCUUAGUUAACAAUUUCUGAUUUUGCCAUAUGUAUUAUUUUGUUUUUGCUUGUGAGUAAGUAACAAAUUGUAAUACUCAAGGUUAGGUAGGAAAUUCUUCAUUGACAAAGAAAAAAUUCUCAACAAUGUUAAAAAAAUUUAAUGUUAAAAUUUUUUUGAUUACAUAUUUCGACAAUGUUUCACUUCUGACCAUAUAAUUCCAAAAUGUUUCAUUUUUUAACACAUGUUUCGAAAGUAUAUCAUAAAAAACAUAAGGCGCAUGCGGGGCCACGACGAGCGGGGGAGGUGGUACUGUCACACGCCGGACUAUGGAUAUACCUCUCUCUCGAUCCCGAUCUUAGUUAGGUUACGGAAUAGGCUCCUUGUCGUGCAGGCCGAGAAGAUAGAGAAGAAUAAAAGGGAAGUUGUUAUUUCUGUAUUUCAAUUAUAUGACUGUUUUGAUUUCCUAAUUGUAUUUUGUCUCUUUAAGCACUUUUUGUUUAAGCUCAUGCAAAAUGAAGAAGGUGAUGGAUUUCGUUUGUGUGUGGACUCCCAUAAAAGAAAGAAGAACAGGCUGCAAUAAAUGAAAGGAGUUGUAACGUCAAAAACUGAAAUGAAAGCAACCUUUAGUUGUGAUGUAAAUCAAUAGUGGAGCUAAAUGACAAUGAGGGUAAUUUACCCCUCGUUGAUGACAAGAAGCAAAUGGACUCAAAUACAGCGAAUACGUUUCGACCAUCUAAGCAAUGGAGUUAAAGAAAAAUAUGUUGUGAACAUCUCAGCAGUUGGACUAAAUGACUAUUUCAAUGAAAUGUUGAUGUUGUUGGGGAAGAAACUGGGCUAAGUCUUAAGAGAUUAUGGGCUAUAGAUGAAAAACAGAAUUGAUAUUGCUUUUGAGAUGACUCAUCGUCAAAGAUUGUAAGCAGUGGAGUUCAAUGUAAUGAACAUUGGUGCGCUACAAAUGCAAAAGAAGUGUGUUAGAAAGAAGUAAAAUCAAUGGACUCUGGCUGCAAAUGGAGUAAUUGGGAAAAAAUUGCACGUUGUGUCAGCAGAUAAUGGACAACAAACAUGAUGCCGAUACAAGUGAAAUUGAAGUGAAACGAUGAUAAUAAUGCUGUUAAUGGUAAUUGUUCAAGGAAAACCAGCCCAGAAUGAUGUUCAGUGAAUAUUGCUUGUGGUAAUAUAGUUAAGAUUAUAGUUUGGCUCCACUAUAAGUAUAAUUGUCAAUCUAAAUAAAGUUGGAAGUUCCCCUUCCUUCCUACUUUAUUUAGAUGAAGUUUAAGUUAAAUGCUUUGUCUGUCAAAAUUGCCCCACACAAUUUUGAUAGAUAAAUGCAAUAAAAUAAUAUUGUAAAUUGUCUUUUUGUCAAUAGUUUAAAGUAAUUAUAAUACUCCUGUAAUGAUCAUAAUGAAUUGAUAGACUGUAGAUAAAAACCGGAAUAAGAAUUGAAGUAAUAUGAAUAAUUUAAAUAAUUUACUGAAUAAUUUGUAUAAUUUGAU